CACGAACGCUGGCGGCAGGCUUAACACAUGCAAGUCGAGCGCCCCGCAAGGGGAGCGGCAGACGGGUGAGUAACGCGUGGGAAUCUACCCAUCUCUACGGAAUAACGCAUGGAAACGUGUGCUAAUACCGUAUACGUCCUUCGGGAGAAAGAUUUGUCGGUGAUGGAUGAGCCCGCGUUGGUUUAGCUAGUUGGUGGGGUAAAGGCCUACCAAUGCGACGAUCCAUAACUGGUCUGAGAGGAUGAUCAGCCACACUGGGACUGAGACACGGCCCAGACUCCUACGGGAGGCAGCAGUGGGGAAUAUUGGACAAUGGGCGCAAGCCUGAUCCAGCCAUGCCGCGUGAGUGAUGAAGGCCCGAGGGUUGUAAAGCUCUUUCACCGGUGGAGAUAAUGACGGUAACCGGAGAAGAAGCCCCGGCUAACUUCGUGCCAGCCGCCGCAGUAAAAC
rnacentral:rRNA from 1 species